UACAGAGGGGGCAAGCGUUGUUCGGAAUUACUGGGCGUAAAGGGCGCGUAGGCGGCCUUCUAAGUCGAACGUGAAAUCCCCGGGCUCAACCUGGGAACUGCGUCCGAUACUGGCAGGCUUGAAUCCGGGAGAGGGAUGCGGAAUUCCAGGUGUAGCGGUGAAAUGCGUAGAUAUCUGGAGGAACACCGGUGGCGAAGGCGGCAUCCUGGACCGGUAUUGACGCUGAGGCGCGAAAGCCAGGGGAGCAAACGGG
rnacentral:rRNA from 1 species